CAGCACUUGUUGUUUGGUGCUUUGUUUAUGAUGGCCAUUCUGACUGGUGUCAAGUGGUAUCUCAUUGUGGUUUUAAUUUGCAUCUCUCUGAUAGCUAGCGAUACUGAGCAUCUUUUCAUAUGUCUCUGGACCUUUUGUAUGUCCUCCUUGGAGAAGUGUCUG